AGAGUUUGAUCAUGGCUCAGAUUGAACGCUGGCGGCAGGCCUAACACAUGCAAGUCGAACGGUAACAUUUCUAGCUUGCUAGAAGAUGACGAGUGGCGGACGGGUGAGUAAUGCUUGGGAACUUGCCUUUGCGAGGGGGAUAACAGUUGGAAACGACUGCUAAUACCGCAUAAUGUCUACGGACCAAACGGGGCUUAGGCUCCGGCGCAAAGAGAGGCCCAAGUGAGAUUAGCUAGUUGGUAAGGUAAUGGCUUACCAAGGCAACGAUCUCUAGCUGUUCUGAGAGGAAGAUCAGCCACACUGGAACUGAGACACGGUCCAGACUCCUACGGGAGGCAGCAGUGGGGAAUAUUGCACAAUGGGGGAAACCCUGAUGCAGCCAUGCCGCGUGUGUGAAGAAGGCCUUCGGGUUGUAAAGCACUUUCAGUUGUGAGGAAAAGUUAGUAGUUAAUACCUGCUAGCCGUGACGUUAACAACAGAAGAAGCACCGGCUAACUCCGUGCCAGCAGCCGCGGUAAUACGGAGGGUGCGAGCGUUAAUCGGAAUUACUGGGCGUAAAGCGCACGCAGGCGGUUUGUUAAGCUAGAUGUGAAAGCCCCGGGCUCAACCUGGGAUAGUCAUUUAGAACUGGCAGACUAGAGUCUUGGAGAGGGGAGUGGAAUUCCAGGUGUAGCGGUGAAAUGCGUAGAUAUCUGGAGGAACAUCAGUGGCGAAGGCGACUCCCUGGCCAAAGACUGACGCUCAUGUGCGAAAGUGUGGGUAGCGAACAGGAUUAGAUACCCUGGUAGUCCACACCGUAAACGCUGUCUACUAGCUGUGUGUGCCUUUAAGGCUGUGCGUAGCGAAGCUAACGCGAUAAGUAGACCGCCUGGGGAGUACGGCCGCAAGGUUAAAACUCAAAUGAAUUGACGGGGGCCCGCACAAGCGGUGGAGCAUGUGGUUUAAUUCGAUGCAACGCGAAGAACCUUACCUACACUUGACAU
rnacentral:rRNA from 1 species